AGCCGGGAUACAUAAAUAUAUAAUGGUAGGAAAACCCUACCUCCCUCGUGUCCGUCUCCUUCACUUCCUCAUAAUCCUGUUUCAGGCUCACCAUCUUCCACCGGAAAUCGCCUCCGACGGCGGCAAAGGUCCACUGAACCCCAAAAUACACCCCUGAACCUCCUCUUUCCCCUCAUCUCGAAUACCACCCUAUUUUCCCUCAAACAUCAACCCAUCAUCUCGAAUUUCAAAUCGAGAUUUUGGGCCAAAACCCUACCUUCUCCAAACUUCGUCAAAUUAUCACCAAAUCACCCUCUCCCCUCCCUCACAAUGAAUCCCUUUCCAUUUUCUCUCAAAUCCUAUCAGGUUUCCUCAAAUUUCUAAAACCUAGUGCCGCCACAGUGGAUCCAAAGGUGGCGCCUCCAAAUUACCUCAAAACCACAUCCUUGAAUUCUGCUAUCCUCCUCACGCCAAAACCCCAUUCCGCCCCUGUCUAAUCAUCUUCAAGCGGCUCAAAUAUCAAAACUAGGGAUCAACUUAUUGAAGUCAAGGAUUAAAUUAACCCAUGUAAUAGCCUCUUAUCAUUCGUGAAUAUCAGGGCGUAUUGUGAGUUCUCCUUUUUCUUUUCUACCGUUUAUUCUGUUCCUUCUGGAUUUUUCUAUUUUUAGUGGUUGAGUUUUUUUCCUAUUCCUUUGUGUAUUAGUCUGAAUGGAUAAUUGUGAUUUGUUUGUGAUAAAUUUGUUGUUCAAGCAUGAAUACUGUGAUAAAUUUGAGUUUCUGGUUCAUGUCGAUUAUGUUGGGUUCAAUUUUUUUUUCUUCAUGAUUAAAUUUUUUCUCGCUUGGUUUAGUUGUUGUUUGAUCCUGUUUUGUAAUAAUUGGACCUUGUUUUGAUAAGCUUUAGUUUUAUUAGCUAGUAAUUAGGUUAGAUUUUCUGUUAAUUGCUUUUAAAAUUAUUUUUAUUAGUGUAAUUAGAAUGAUUUUCAGCCUUGUUAGUCUACAUUGAUUGAUAGGAUUUCUGUUAGUUUAGGUUGUUGGAUAUAGCUGAAAACUCAUAUCUAUUGAUUAACCCUAGUUGACUUUAACUAAGGUCAUUUGGUUAGUUGACAAGGCUAGGCUAGGUUAGUAGUUUUCAGACUAGUAAAAAGGUAAGUUGGGUAAUUCAAAGAUAGGGAAUCUGUAGUAACUAGAAUAAGAAUUACCUAGAAGCUUCUAGUAGGGGAUCAAACAGUAAAUAAUAGAUCUAACUUGACCAACAAGCUAAUAGUUGAGGGAUUCUUAAGCAAAAACAAAAAUUAGGAAAGGAUUAGAUGCAAAAACUAAAAACUUGAGGGUUGCCCUCACUUGUGCCUAUAAAAAGGCAUGUCAUUGCCUUGUUUAAUAGGUUUCAGAUCUGAAAAUUCCCCCCAAAAGCUUCCAUAAAAUCAAAUAUCUGAAAAUUGAAAAUUCAAAAAAAAAAAAAGCCAAAAAUUGUAGUUCAAACAAUCUAAAAUUUUGUUCUCUUAGAUUAGAUCAUUAGUUCCUUAAAACCAAAAAUAUAUGACAAUAAAAACUCAAAAAGCAUUGUUCCAUUGGAAUUCGUAGGUUAAUUUCGAAAUUAGUGGUUGAUUUGCAUCUCCUAGUUCAAAGUUUGAUUGCUGAAAGUUUUCUAAAGUUUCUGUACAUUUGGGUUUAUUCAAGCUGUUUAUGGUUGAUUUCCUGGUCCUGUUUGAUUUUAAAUUCUUCCUGGGCUGCUGAAUCAUUUUCUUGGCUUGAUGCUUGUUCAUCUGUUGCCCGCGUUUACUGCUGCUAAUUUCUUCUUCUUCUUCUCAUUGUGUUCUGAUCUUCAGGUACACACCUUGAACCGUCUUUGAUGUAACUCGAAUUGGAAUUGGAAUACAAACAGUGCAUGAGUUUUGCUUCUCAAUGUAUACUCGUCUGGCUCAUCAUAUGUUAAUAGCUUGGUGGAUGUAAUGUCUAGUAUAACUAUAGCUUUGUUUGGUAUUUGCAUGAACAAUGGACUGAUUUGGACUGUAUGAGACUGUAAAUUGAUUCUAAAUCUGUCUCUCAAUCAUGUGAAAAUUUCACAUAGGAGUAUUAGAUUCAAAUUAGUUUUGGUUUGACGUAUAAUUCCAUAUGUUAUUUGAAGUCAGAAAUUAUCAAAUUUCAUGACUAGUUAUUGUGUGUGAAAUCGUUAAAACUGCUGCCAUGUAUUAGGUAUAGUUAUCACAAGUUCCUGCAAUUUGGUUGAGGUCACUUGAAUGCCCUUUGAGUGCUUGAAUGUGUAGACUAAUUGACAGUUUUAAUAUGAUCACUACGGACUGCUAAAAAUAGGAUUCGAAAUUCGUGCUGCAAAACAAAUUAAUUUGGGACUUUGUUGUCAAAUGGUUAAUUAAAUUUUUGAAUAUUCCUGUUAAUUAUCCGGGCAUCGAUUCAUUUGAGUGAAUUGAGUUAAUUAGUUGGAUAAGAAUCAAUGUUGGUUGCAAUUAAUUGUGCACACCUUUACAAAAUAGAAUCAGGUCCGAUUUUUGGGCCUGUUAUGAGCUUAGACAGUCCGUCCUUGUGCAAGUGAUACUUGGGCUUGUGAUUUGAAGUCCAGAAAUAUUAUGUUCUCCCAAUGGGAUACUUUUGGAGGUUAGGACAGUUUAAAUUAUGUUUGCUUUUCAAAUGUAUUGGGCCUAGACGAUAUUACAAUUGAAUCAUGGGUUUGGUUCUUUCUAGAUAAUGCCUUAGAGACAAACUCCUUAGAAAAUAAUAGUUUGCUUUAGAAUGUCUUUAAAAUAAAUGAGGUGCGCUGUGUGGCCCUCUUUACAUGUUCACAUUAAGUAUUUAGACCUCGGGGCUAGCCAUUUAGCGAAUU
rnacentral:lncRNA from 1 species